rnacentral:rRNA from 1 species
UGGGGAAUUGUUCGCAAUGGGCGCAAGCCUGACGACGCAACGCCGCGUGGAGGAUGAAGAUCUUCGGGUCGUAAACUCCUUUCGAUCGAGACGAACGGCUUCCGGGUGAAUAAUCCGGGAGAGUGACGGUACCGAGAGACGAAGCCCCGGCUAACUCCGUGCCAGCAGCCGCGGUAAUACGGGGGGGGCAAGCGUUGUUCGGAAUUACUGGGCGUAAAGGGCUUGUAGGUGGCCAACUAAGUCAGACGUGAAAUCCCUCGGCUUAACCGGGGAACUGCGUCUGAUACUGGAUGGCUCGAGUAUGGGAGAGGGAUGCGGAAUUCCAGGUGUAGCGGUGAAAUGCGUAGAUAUCUGGAGGAACACCGGUGGCGAAGGCGGCAUCCUGGACCAUUACUGACACUGAUAAGCGAAAGCCAGGGGAGCAAAC